rnacentral:lncRNA from 1 species
UACGUGCUUUUCAAUCCAAUUAAAACAUUUUCAUUGAGCCAUUAGAAAUGAAAGACAAUCAUUCAUUGCUAAUAAGGGCAUUGGACCCAUUUAAUCUUUAAUAUCAUGUCAAAACCCUCUUUUAGUUAUGUCUCCUUACCAAUAGUUAAAGAAACUCUAGUCUAGCACUAGAGGGAAUCAACUAACUAAAAGAGAUUAAGAAAUAAUAAGAAUUACAAACCGAUUUGUACAAAUUCCUACAAAUUACACAUACUAAGAGGGAGAGAUAGAUUAAUGUCAAACGUGACAAGGUCCAAUAAAAACUGUAAUUAAAACACAUUCCCAAGGUUCAAACAAUUUGAUUUUAGCGCCUGAUCUCAUAGCUCAAUUAUCGUUUAAGGCAUAAGUCCAUAGUCACCCUUUUCUAACUACUUAAUCACAUUAAAUAAUCAAAAUGGAAUGCAACAUGAACAUUUAGAUUUAGUGCAUAUGGGCAUAAUAGUAUUAUGAGUUUAAACAACUAACAAAAUUAAAAUCAAAUAUUUUAACUUUCUAGUUAGUAGGGGCCUAAAUGCAAAUAAGAAAAAGUUAGGGGUCAAACCAUAAAUACUCAAAAGUAUAAAAUAUCUUUUUCCAAAUUACAAAAAACCCCCCAAGUGGAUAAAUCCACUAGGGUGGCCGGCCACAUUAAGGGGAGAUGGGAAGUUUCACCCAUCUUGCUUUAAUUCAAUGCAAAGUAGAAAAAAUCCAAAUUUGCUUGUCAGUUGGUUUUGGCAUUAAAACUUAGGUGAAAAGGAUUGAUGGAAAUUUCCUAGUCAAGUCUAGGAUUUAAUAAAUUUUGGGAAGGCUAUGGAUGAUAAGUAUAUCAUCCAAAAUUAUAAAACAAUUUAUGAAAACCAAAUAAAACCAUUUUCACCAAAAACAAACCAUGAACACCAAGAACAAAACCAUGAACAUAUUUUCAAGAUUUGUGUAUUCUUGGUGAUUUUUCAAACCCAAAAACUAAAGUGACAAGGGUUCUACUUUCUAGCUUUAAAAUGAUGUGUGAGUGUCUUACAACAAAACACAAACACAUGCCCAAAAAACCCCCUUAAUGCCGUGCCUACCACAAGGAACAAAACCCCAAAUUUUGUUCAUAACUUACUCUUCAUUCAUGCAUCCAAAACACCUUUUUACAUGCAUAUCUUUUUCAACUCUUGAUUUAUAUUUUUCAACCAUUGAAAAACAAAAGAUAAACAUACUUUAAAUGAAGAAAUAAUAUGUCAAACUAGUUCAAAACUCAAUUUUCAUUCAUGCAUACAAAACAUCUUUUGCAUACAUAUCUUUCUCAACUAUUGACUAACAUUUUUCAACUAUUGAAAAACAAAAGAUAAACAUAUUUUGAAUGAAGCAAUAAUUAUGUCAUACAUAAUAUUAAUACCCAUAUGCAUAAAAUCCAAAAGGACACAUUAUACAUAAACCUUUGGCUCUGAUACCACUUGAAGGGAAAACUAUGAGUUUAACACAUGGGAUUUCGAAAUGACUAGCAUGCAUAUACAAUUCAAAAUUUAUAUACAUAAGCAAUGGAAGCAUGUUAUCAAAUAAUAUCAAAGCUAUAGUCAUGCAAAUCCCCUUCAAGGUUCAUAGGUUUAUAUAUAAUGCAUCUAAAACAUUCAAUUUAAGAACUAAGUGAAGGUAUAGAUCUAUACCUCUUGAUCUUGAUUUUAGACCAAGGAUGGACCACCUCCAAGCCCUUUGCUCCUUGAAGGCCUUGAGCCUAGCCUCCCUCCUUGCCUCCUCCACUUUGUUAGUAGGAGUGCUCCAAGGUUCUCCUUUAGUCUCCAAAGGAGAAGACCUCUAAAUAUCCACACCCACUAGUGUAGUGAGAUGGAUGGAGGAAUAACCAAAAGGGUGAAAGAUUGUUAGCUAAAUCACCCUCAAGGUGGCCGGCCUUUGGUGUUUUUAGAGAGAUGUUUCUUUUGCCUCUUUGUUGUUUUAAAACACACAAAAACCCUAAGGAAUAAAUCUCUACAAAGUUCCUUAUAUAGACAAAAAGAAACCUAGUCAACAAAUUGACUUAAUAUCUCUCCCUCUCCACUUUAAAUGGCCGGCCCCUUUGUGUUGGUUUGGGCUUUGGGCUUUUAUUUAUUUCUAGUCAUCCAAUGCUUGAAUAAAAGCCCAAUGGACCCAAUUAAACCCGAACGUUUCUUUAAGCCCAAAACGAUCUUUUAUCGCUUUUAUGAUUUCUUUAGACUUUCUAAAUUAAUCACAACACUUAAUUAAUCCAAUUAAUUAUUUCCAUCAUCCAUUAAUUACUCACUACUAGAGUGUAUCGGUGUACAAUCAUUUUAGGUUCUAAUUAGCAAGGCAGUG